CAUGUAGGCGGUUAUUUAAGUCUGGUGUGAAAGACUGAGGCUCAACCUCAGGAACGCGCUGGAAACUGGGUGACUAGAAUUCGAGAGGGGAAGUUGGAAUUCCAGGUGUAGGGGUGAAAUCUGCUGAUAUCUGGAAGAACACCUGAGGCGAAGGCGAACUUCUGGCUCUGAAUUGACGCUGAGGUGCGAAAGCGUAGGUAGCGAACA
rnacentral:rRNA from 1 species